rnacentral:rRNA from 1 species
CCUACGGGAGGCAGCAGUGGGGAAUAUUGCACAAUGGGGGAAACCCUGAUGCAGCGACGCCGCGUGAGUGAAGAAGGAUUUCGGUAUGGAAAGCUCUAUCAGCAGGGAAGUAAAUGACGGUACCUGAGUAAGAAGCCACGGCUAACUACGUGCCAGCAGCCGCGGUAAUACGUAGGGGGCAGGCGUGAUCCGGAUUUACGGGGUGUAAAGGGAGCGUAGACGGCUGCACAAGGCUGGAGUGAAAUGCCGGGGCUUAACCCCGGAACUGCAUUGGAAAUUGUGCAGCUAGAGUGCAGGAGAGGUAAGUGGAAUUCCUAGUAUAGCGGUGAAAUGCGUAGAUAUUAGGAGGAACACCAGUGGCGAAGGCGGCUUACUGGACUGUAACUGACGUUGAGGCUCGAAAGCGUGGGGAGCAAACAGGAUUAGAUACCCCAGUAGUC